ensembl:rRNA 5S_rRNA 5S ribosomal RNA
GAUUACAGCCAUAUCACCCUGCAGCCUAAGACCAGUAUUCACUGAAGCUAAGCAGGGCUGAGCCUGGUCAGUACCUGGAUGGGAGACUGCAUGGGAAAACUAGGCUGCUGUUGGAA